GUGUCAUUUUUGUGUAAGAUUUCACAGAAUGUGUGAAACCUGAAGUUAAGAGGUUCAUUUCUGGGUCGUGCUAAUACUACAAGUGAGAAACUAACGGCCGUUUGGCUGUCCAAUCGCGUGACUGUGGACAUUUGAAAGCAGACUUCCGCCCGCCUUUUCUACCGUUGGAAAUGCAAGAUGCGGCGACUUGACUUCAGACACCGAGAGAGGCUGGCGGCCCAGGUCUUGUGGCCACAUCUGUCCAAGCUCCUACUCUGAUUGAACAGUUGGAUGAUCAGACUGAUGAUGAAAAGUGCUACACAGUUCUCACACAUAUUCUGACUCCGAAGCCGCUGCAGUGUAAAAUCUGAGAUGUCUUUUCUGGUUGAUUUUGUGCAGAUUUCUGACAGCGAUGGUGAGGGAAGCAGUGUACCGAACUCUCAGAUGACUCGGACCAGGUGACCAAACCCAUGCAAAGCACAAUGACUGUGCUGAGGCGUUCCGCCCCCCUCCCCCUCCACACCACUCAAGGCACGGCGGCGGCCCAACCGCAAACUAACGGAGAUUAACAUGAGGCUGGAUGCGCUUGGCUCCCUGCUGCGUCCAUCACCAGAGGGGCCGAGAUUGCUGCGGCAGCUAGCCAAUUAAAGGAGGAGUCUGACGAUGCAGACAUCGCCAUCGUAUGCAGUCCACGCCCUCGCAGGAAAACCAGCCAAUGAAAACGCUUGCAGCAGCAUCAGCAGAACACACCGGCACGACUGGUAAACUUAAAGAUACGCCACAGACCAGACAUACACCAAAUACAACUAGCACAGGUACACACACACACACACACACACACACACACACAGCAGUACAUCUGUUUUGUAUAGCGCUUUGCCUAGUCAAAGACUUUUUACAGGAAGUAUUAUAAUUCUGUUUUAUAG